UCUGUGCUGCAGAAGAGCAAGUUUAGGAUUACAUGUGAAGGAACUUGCUCAAAACCACAAAGUGAUUAUGAGGCAGAACUGAGAACUCAACUUGGGGGUGGUGUGUGUGGCACCAAGGCACCCGGUUCCAUGUAACAUGGCUAGAAAUGCUGCAACUGACUGGUUUGUUGAAGCUGGAUUUUGAACGCCCUCUAAGAGUGAACACCAGAAAAUUCCAAAUUUAUCAGGACCUCAAGCACAUCAAGACACCAGACGACUUGGAGGGCUCCUAUUUACAGCAAACUGCCUCUAAUAACAAUCUCACUCAGUAUGUACGACAGAAAACGGAGCUUACAAAUUUCAUACAAGGGCUACUUAAAGUGUGGUCUCUAAACCUGGUACCAGUCUGCAAAUGGUUAGGAGUCCAGAAUAUUUUCUACAUCACUAAGUACAGUGCUCAGUUCGGCUAACUUGUUUUUUCAUCGCAAGAUACUCUUGAUGAAGGAGGCUGGAUUGAUUUAUUCUAGCCCAACCUUCUUAUCCAUCAUGAACUGGUAACAGUUUGUGAGCCACAAAAGACCCCGAAUAGCCAAAGCACCCUUGAAAAGGAAAAACAAAGCUGCAUCACAAUUCUGGGUUUCAAAUUACAGUACAAAGCUGUAGUAACUAAAAUAGUAUGGUACUGGCACAAAAACAGACACAUAGAUCAAUGGAAUAGAACAGAAAACC